CACAGCUACAUUGGAUGAACUACAUGCGUCAAUUGACAGACAUUCCAGCUUGUUGCAAACUGCCGGUUGCUUUCAAUACCCUGAUGGUGUGGAUGAGAAAGAUAAUAUCCUCAAGGAUUUCAUGCAGUGGUAUAUCAUUUACCGCAACCAUUUCUCAACACAAAGAUUCAACGAUGGCCUUUCCACACUAGAUGUUAAUCAUGCUUUGGAGCAGCAUGCAUCUGUAUUCAGGACCUUUAUGUGCGUAAGUGUGAAACACCUGACAUCUGCAACAUUGGAGGACAUCUUUGAAGUUCAGUUCAGUGAAAAAGGCAGCACAAGACGACAGGAAGAAACCAGAGUAGUGGGAUUCUGGAGAGACUAUCUUCUGGAGACAGAAGAUAAAUGAACGGGACUCUUCCUCCAGGAUAUCUUGAUGUUUGCCACAGGAUUAAACACACUCCCUCCCUCUGGAAUUCAGCCACGACCCAAACUGCUUUUUCACCUGACUUCUCGCUUUCCAGUCAGCAGCACCUGUGCCAACACAAUAGAAAUACCGAUGUCCAAGACUUACGACCAGUUUGAAAAGGUCAUGGAUUUUGGAAUCCAAAACUCUCCUGGUUUUGGACUUCUCUCCUCUAAUGACUUCUCUAAUUUCUGUGUCUUGUUCUGUGAAAGUUGGACUCACAUUUCAUAACAUAUCAGCCAUGUUCUUUAGUGUGAUAUAAUUUUCCACACAGGACUCCCAAGUCAAAGGCUGCAUCAGAC